GAGAUAUGAUGCGAAAAACUAUUUGGUCCGUGUUUCUGAAUCAAUCGUGACUGAGAAACUGCUACCAAUAUCUGAUCUC